CCUACGGGUGGCAGCAGUGGGGAAUAUUGCGCAAUGGGCGAAAGCCUGACGCAGCGACGCCGCGUGGGUGAUGAAGGCCUUCGGGUUGUAAAGCCCUGUCGGGUGGAACGAACGAUCUGGCGGCGAAUAACCGCCGGGUGUGCCGGUACCACCGAAGGAAGCCCCGGCUAACUACGUGCCAGCAGCCGCGGUAAGACGGAGGGGGCGAGCGGUGGUCGGAUUUACUGGGGGGGCUACGUGCGUCGGUGGCGAAAUCCCUCGGCUUAGCCGGGGACCCGCAUCCGAUACUGUCUGGCUCGAGUCUAGGAGAGGAAAGCGGAAUUCCCAGUGUAGCGGUGAAAUGCGUAGAUAUUGGGAGGAACACCGGUGGCGAAGGCGGCUUUCCGGACUAGUACUGACGCUGAGGCGCGAAAGCUAGGGGAGCGAACGGGAUUAGAUACCCUUGUAGUC
rnacentral:rRNA from 1 species